ACGGCGCACGGGUGCGUAACACGUGGGUAAUCUGCCCUCUGAUGGGGAAUAACCCGCCGAAAGGCGGGCUAAUUCCGCAUAACAUUCCCUGGACUCCGGUUCGGGGAUUCAAAGGCGUAAGUCGUCGGAGGUGGAGCCCGCGCACGAUUAGCUAGUUGGUGAGGUAACGGCUCACCAAGGCAAUGAUCGUUAGCUGGUCUGAGAGGAUGGCCAGCCACACUGGAACUGAGACACGGUCCAGACUCCUACGGGAGGCAGCAGUGGGGAAUCUUGCACAAUGGGCGAAAGCCUGAUGCAGCGACGCCGCGUGGGGGAUGAAGCAUCUCGGUGUGUAAACCCCUUUCGACUGGGACGAAUGCCUCGCAGGAGGACUGACGGUACCAGUAUAAGAAGCCCCGGCUAACUACGUGCCAGCAGCCGCGGUAAGACGUAGGGGGCCAGCGUUGUUCGGAAUUACUGGGUGUAAAGGGUUCGUAGGCGGUGUGGCAAGUUGGGAGUGAAAUCUCUGGGCUUAACUCAGAGGCUGCUUCCAA
rnacentral:rRNA from 1 species